CUGCAAUGAUGGAAUUUCUUAGGACUUAGGACUUACUCAUGAAAACAACUAGUAUCUGAGCAGC
rnacentral:snoRNA from 1 species